rnacentral:rRNA from 1 species
GGACUACUGGGGUUUCUAAUCCUGUUUGCUCCCCAUGCUUUCGUGUCUGAGCGUCAGGCAACCCCCAGCCCGCCGGCUUCCCCUCUGGUAUUCUUCCCGAUCUCUACCCAUUUCACUGGUCCACCGGGAGUUCUACGGGCCUCUAGGUCCCUCAAGCGCCCUCGUAUCACGGGCCCCCUCCCAGGUAAGCCGGGAGAUUUCACCCGUGACGCAACGCGCCGCCUGCACACGCUUUACGCCCAGUAACUCCGGACAACGCUUGCAUCCUACGUAUUACCGCGGCUGCUGGCAC